AGCUCCAAUAGCGUAUAUUAAAGUUGUUGCAGUUAGAACGCUCGUAGUCGGAUUUCGGGGCGGUCCGACCGGUCUGCCGAUGGGUACGUACUGGUCGGAGCGUCCUUUCUGCCGGAGACCGUGGCUACUCUUAACUGAGCGGUUCCGGGAGACGGCACUUUUACUUUGAAAAAUCAGAGUGUUUCAAGCAGGCAGCUCGCUCUUGCAUGGAUUAGCAUGGGAUAAUGAAAUAGGACUUUGGUGCUAUUUUGUUGGUUUCGAACACCGAAGUAAUGA
rnacentral:rRNA from 1 species